rnacentral:rRNA from 1 species
AACGAACGCUGGCGGCGCGCCUAAUACAUGCAAGUCGAGCGAGAAGACGUAGCAAUACGUUUGUAAAGCGGCGAACGGGUGAGGAAUACAUGGGUAACCUACCCUCGAGUGGGGAAUAACUAGCCGAAAGGUUAGCUAAUACCGCGUACGCUUCUUGGACUUCGGUUCAGGGAGGAAAGCGAUACCGUGGGUAUCGCGCUCUUGGAUGGGCUCAUGUCCUAUCAGCUUGUUGGNGAGGUAACGGCUCACCAAGGCUUCGACGGGUAGCUGGUCUGAGAGGACGAUCAGCCACACUGGCACUGCGACACGGGCCAGACUCCUACGGGAGGCAGCAGUAAGGAAUAUUGCGCAAUGGGCGAAAGCCUGACGCAGCGACGCCGCGUGGGGGAGU